rnacentral:misc_RNA from 1 species
AACGCACGAGACCUGCGGACCUGCGGAAGGAUCAUUAAAGAGUUGCAAGACUCCCAAACCAUUGUGAACGUUACCCACACCGUUGCUUCGGCGGGCGGCCCGGGCCCUGCCCGGCGCCCCCCGGCCCCUCGCGGGCGCCCGCCGGAGGUAAACCAAACUCUUGAAUUGUAUGGCCUCUCUGAGUCUUCUGUACUGAAUAAGUCAAAACUUUUAGCAACGGAUCUCUAGAUCGGAAGAGCA